CAGGGACUGGCAGCACUGUCUGCCAUGCACAGUCUCUCGCCUCUACCUUGCCUCACGGAUGGGAUGGGAUAACUGUGGUGCGUCAUUCAGCUCUGCUUCUCAUGUUUCUGCAGGACAGAGUUACAUUUUCUGGGAGUCGUUUCUCAGCCUGUUGUUCUCCAUGAUGUUUGACUGGACAGCUCUUCCUUCUUCAUUAUCCUCCUUGGCCUCUUCUGAAAACCCAGGAUGAAGAAGUAGCCACUAUAUGAGACUUGAUGGUCUCACGGUGGAGGUUUGAACAUCGUGGGAACAUGCAAUGUCUCUGAAAACCUCAGCUCAGAUGAGGCAAAUGGCUCAUCUAUUUAUGGCCCAUCUUGGCAAGUCACAAGGUCCACAUCCCCAAUCAGUAGGAUGAGGAUGUCUAUAGGGAAAACUGGCAAAGAGGAAAAGGAAAUGGAUAAUUGUGAAUAAAUGAAACAAUCUCCAUGCCUCAUGAGGCAGAUACUGAUAUGAAUCUCUUGGUAGAGAAGGAACUUGAGGCACAGAGAGAAAAUUGAGGCACAGAGAGGUUGAGAACCUUGCCCAAAGUCCUACAGCAUCUUAGUGGUAGAGCCAAGAUUUCAUCCUGGGGAGUCUGACUUCAUGGUGUUGAAUCAUUUUCUAGAUUCUUCCUCUGGGAACUCUCAUUUUUGUGGAAUGACCUAUAUCAUCUCGUCUAAAUUUUCAGCAGGCUUUAAUAAAAACAAUUUUAAAGAAGACUCAAAUAUGGCAAUAAUAAAACUUUG